UGAGGUAGGAGGUUGUAUAGUUGAGGAGGACACCCACGGAGAUCACUAUACGGCCUCCUAGCUUUC
rnacentral:pre_miRNA from 1 species